AACGAACGCUGGCGGCAGGCCUAACACAUGCAAGUCGAGCGAGGACUUCGGUCCUAGCGGCGGACGGGUGAGUAACGCGUGGGAACGUGCCCUUUGCUUCGGAAUAGCCCUGGGAAACUGGGAGUAAUACCGGAUGAGCCCUUUGGGGGAAAGAUUUAUCGGCGAAGGAUCGGCCCGCGUUGGAUUAGGUAGUUGGUGGGGUAAUGGCCUACCAAGUCGACGAUCCAUAGCUGGUUUGAGAGGAUGAUCAGCCACACUGGGACUGAGACACGGCCCAGACUCCUACGGGAGGCAGCAGUGGGGAAUCUUAGACAAUGGGGGAAACCCUGAUCUAGCCAUGCCGCGUGAGCGAUGAAGGCCUUAGGGUUGUAAAGCUCUUUCAGCUGGGAAGAUAAUGACGGUACCAGCAGAAGAAGCCCCGGCUAACUCCGUG
rnacentral:rRNA from 1 species